rnacentral:rRNA from 1 species
UACGUAGGGGGCAAGCGUUGUCCGGAUUUAUUGGGCGUAAAGAGCGUGUAGGCGGUUUUACAGGUCCGCUGUGAAAACUCGAGGCUCAACCUCGAGCUGUCGGUGGAAACCGUAAGGCUAGAGUCCGGAAGAGGAGACUGGAAUUUACGGUGUAGCGGUGAAAUGCGUAGAUAUCGUAAGGAAGACCAGUGGCGAAGGCGGGUCUCUGGACAGUUCCUGACGCUGAGGCACGAAGGCCAGGGGAGCAAACGGG